UGCAGUCGAGCGAACCGAUGGAGUGCUUGCAUUCCUGAGGUUAGCGGCGGACGGGUGAGUAACACGUAGGCAACCUGCCUGUACGACCGGGAUAACUCCGGGAAACCGGAGCUAAUACCGGAUAGGAUGCCGAACCGCAUGGUUCGGCAUGGAAAGGCCUUUGAGCCGCGUACAGAUGGGCCUGCGGCGCAUUAGCUAGUUGGUGGGGUAACGGCCUACCAAGGCGACGAUGCGUAGCCGACCUGAGAGGGUGAACGGCCACACUGGGACUGAGACACGGCCCAGACUCCUACGGGAGGCAGCAGUAGGGAAUCUUCCGCAAUGGACGAAAGUCUGACGGAGCAACGCCGCGUGAGUGAGGAAGGUCUUCGGAUCGUAAAACUCUGUUGUCAGGGAAGAACCGCCGGGAUGACCUCCCGGUCUGACGGUACCUGACGAGAAAGCCCCGGCUAACUACGUGCCAGCAGCCGCGGUAAUACGUAGGGGGCAAGCGUUGUCCGGAAUUAUUGGGCGUAAAGCGCGCGCAGGCGGCUUCUUAAGUCAGGUGUGAAAGCCCACGGCUCAACCGUGGAGGGCCAUCUGAAACUGGGGAGCUUGAGUGCAGGAGAGGAGAGCGGAAUUCCACGUGUAGCGGUGAAAUGCGUAGAGAUGUGGAGGAACACCAGUGGCGAAGGCGGCUCUCUGGCCUGUAACUGACGCUGAGGCGCGAAAGCGUGGGGAGCAAACAGGAUUAGAUACCCUGGUAGUCCACGCCGUAAACGAUGAGUGCUAGGUGUUGGGGAGUCCACCUCCUCAGUGCCGCAGCUAACGCAAUAAGCACUCCGCCUAGGGAGUACGGCCGCAAGGCUGAAAC
rnacentral:rRNA from 1 species